rnacentral:rRNA from 1 species
UGGGGAAUUUUGGACAAUGGGGGCAACCCUGAUCCAGCAAUGCCGCGUGUGUGAAGAAGGCCUUCGGGUUGUAAAGCACUUUUGUCCGGAAAGAAAUCCUUUGGGUUAAUACCUCGGAGGGAUGACGGUACCGGAAGAAUAAGCACCGGCUAACUACGUGCCAGCAGCCGCGGUAAUACGUAGGGUGCAAGCGUUAAUCGGAAUUACUGGGCGUAAAGCGUGCGCAGGCGGUUGUGCAAGACAGAUGUGAAAUCCCCGGGCUUAACCUGGGAACUGCAUUUGUGACUGCACGGCUAGAGUGUGUCAGAGGGGGGUAGAAUUCCACGUGUAGCAGUGAAAUGCGUAGAUAUGUGGAGGAAUACCGAUGGCGAAGGCAGCCCCCUGGGAUAACACUGACGCUCAUGCACGAAAGCGUGGGGAGCAAACAGGAUUAGAUACCCCCGUAGUCC